GUGGUACUGAAAUGUCAGACCAAAUUCAACAAUAUGGAUUGCCAUUUCUAGUAAAUAAAUUAAAUCAAUAAAUUGUCUGGAUUGAGUGUAAAUUGUGGCCAAAGUUUGAUUUGGAGAAUGUGCUCCUUUUUUAAAAGUUUAAUAAAUAAAAUGCAAUAGUCCACUACCUAUCAAACAUUGCUUCACUCUCAGUGAAAGUCAUGACAGUUUAAAGUGAACACAACAGUCACUACAGCUCUGAGCUCUGCCUGAUAGACUGACGAACAGCUUUGCAUGCGUCCUUUACUUUUAAUCUCCCGCUGUGCUCACUUCCCUAUUGUAAUGUGUGAUGUCUUCACCACCAGCAGCACUGACAAGAAAAUGAAUGUUUAGACUCGAUAAAGCCGUCAGACCAAAGCGCCGCUCUGGUUUCUGUGCCAUUGUCCUCCUCUGUAGCCGUCUGUCUGCCUGCUGCUUUUUAGCUCUUCUCUUUUCACGUGUGGGCUCUCCGCACUUUCUCUAAAUGUCUUCUGUCUCUUUUCUUUCAGUCUUGGUCUUGGUAAAGGGCAAAGAAGGGGUCCAUGGAGGCGGAUUGAAUAAGAAGGCAUUCUCCAUGGCAAAAUACUUGAGGGAUUCAGCAUUGGUUUUUGUCAUGGGGAAGGAAGGUGUCCAUGGAGGGCAGCUCAACAAGAAAGCAUUUCAUAUGGCUGAGUACCUGAGGAAGUCCGGAUACUAAAGCAGCCUACACCCCGCCACCUAGCAGCUCACCCUUACCACCCUGUUGCAUUUCACUCUUCUUCCAGUCCUAGUUGGUGGUUACUUUUGUUUUUCUGCCUUCUCUCCUCCUUAUUUGUUAUCCCAUAUUUUGUUAUCCCCCGCCCCUCCCCCAUUAACACACUUGUGCUGUGUACUCUUACCCCUUAAGCACUAUAAGUUGAUCCAUAGCAAAGAUGAGCAUGUUGCUUACAGGAUGUCUUGACAAAUCUGUAGCAAAAGAUCAGCAAAAGAAAAAACCUGGCCAAACACUCGGACAAUGAAAGCUAAAGCGUGAAUUUGAAGUAGAAAUUUCUUUUUGAUUUCUCUGUCCUGGUUCUUAAUCCCUCCCGACCCGACAAUACACACUCCCUCCCGAGCAGCCGAUGCCUUUUAGAGCACUUGAGCGGUAACCCAGCUCGUCACGUCUUCCGGUUUAAUUUCCUCCAUGUCCGGAGGGGAGACUGCAUGCAUACGCCGGUCAACUGUCGCUUCUCUCCGCUCUCCGCACCCCCUCCUGCCAAAAAUGUUGAGUACCUCCCCCUCUCCGUUUCCACAUCCUGUUCUCAAAGCAGGCGACACUACAAACCUCACAGAACUCUCAUCUUGAUCUAACACUACACAGCAACCAACCAGUCCUCCGACCCCGCUGUCUCCAGAUCCACUGCUCUGUCCUGAACACAUUUUAUAAAAGGGGGGGGGGAGGUUUGUGUAUGGGGGGGGUGCUCGGAACGGCUCAGCUGACGACCAUGAGCCGGAUUUGAGAGUGUUUGUCGUCCAGAUGCCGGUAGCCUCUCCUCCCGUCAUCACAACACGAAAACCCCAAGGACAUUCCACAGUAACAAUGGCUCAGGCACUUAAUACUGUUUUUGUUUGCCAGCUCCUGUAAUAUAUUUUCUUUUGUUUAUCUUUGGAAAGGCUGCCAUUUUUGGACAGUAGUUAUCCCAGCAUACAACCAUCUGGAACGUGUCCAGUUUGAAUUUCUUUUUCUUUUUAUAGGACCAAGUGUAGUCGAAGCUCUGGUGUUUAUACAAUUGCUCUAAACCAUGUGAAGGAUGACUGCUAACUCUUUUUGAUGAAGGAAACACUAACCAGACAAUAAUGCGUACUAUGGUUACAAAAAAAACUGAAGCUACAGGGUAGGUAAGGGUGGGAAUAUCUGAAGAAAAUUCUCACUACAUUGUUUUUUUUUCUUUUUUUGUUUAGAAAACAAACAACUGCAUUUGUACAAACCCAUGCUGUGUUGACACUACAAAACUGUGGAAUAAAUUGCCUUUACUCUGUAGUCAGCUGAGUUCUGGGGUAUCACACGGUCUGUCCGCGCUCACUUCUGCUAACUGUAACGUCCAACUGAUAUAAAAAACCUUUUAAAAGUAGAAAUGACACUCAACGGGAGAUGGGAUUGGUUGGAACGAAGACGCUUCUGGUUGUCUUGUUGAAAAUGAACUGCAGAACCUGUGUAUCCUGUGCCAUAAUAUAGAGAUCUGUUGCUGUUGUAAGAUGGAUUUUACCCACUGUCCACUAAAGAGUCAAUUCAUUGGCACUUUUUCUAUUUUUUUGCUUCCGCUCCACUGUUUAGGCCUUGUGAGAUAUGUGUACUCAUAAAAAAAAAAAACUGUUUCAAGUCCUGUUUGCUGAUUUAUGUUCAUUUCCUUUCUCCUCAACACUUUUUUUUUUUGUUCUUACAUCUGGGAUAGUAUCUUAUAAUGCAUCUGAUUUCAUAUGCAUAAAACCAAGAAAUGCCAUAAAUUGAUUUAUCACUUUGUUUACAGACAGAUCAAAUAAAUUUAUUCCAACCAGA